rnacentral:lncRNA from 1 species
AUUUUUCUAAACAAAGAUUAAAUAUGUGACAAGAAGACUGAAGUGCCGAAACAAGACCUCGAAGUGUAGUCUACACAAAUGACUCUCAAACACCGAUCCACUCUCUGGUCUUAGGUUUGGCAACAUUUUUAUAGCCUAUGGGAAAAUAAGAGUAAUAAGAGUAAUCUGGUGAGUUUAUCAUUAGGUUAAAUUGGCUCAAUUUAAAGAGCUGUCCAUUCUGAAAUUGUGUCCUUGCCCUUUUACGGGGUCACUAAAUGUUCCUUCUUACAAAAAACGUUGGUGAUAGUAAAUGGCAACUUUUUUGUUUUGCUCUGUUUUAAUGUUCUUAAGCAGGAAAAAAGAGUUCUAUGUUUGAUCUCUUUUUUAUUUUUUAUUUUCUGCUUCCUGGAAUCCAGAAAUCUGAGAACCAUAGGCAACUCUAACCUCUGCAUAUAUUUGGUACAUAUUUUGUAUACAUGUCUAUUCAUCAAUUCAGACUUUACAAACAGAAGGCCGAGUUACUUCAAUGGACUUUUGCUCAGUGGCAGAAAUCUACAGAUCCAUGUUUUAACACGUCUAAGGCAGCCUUGGGAUGAAACUGGAUUUGGCUGUGUUAUGUUCUUUUUGAAAUACAUGGCUGGAUGUGCUCUACCAAUUAUUUAUGACAUUCAUUUCUAUGAGAAAUUGGCCUAAAAUCAUCCAGUCUCACAUUAUUCAUCUAGUUUUGGUGUAAAGGUUAUACUGACAUAAAAGUUUUGCAUCUUAUCUCAGCUGCUCCUAAGUUAUUUACUCUUUCAGGGUUUGGUAAACUCACUUGUAAAAUGGUAUGGAAAUGCAUUUAUUUUGUUGGUAUAUCUUGACUACUGGUUUAUAUUUAUAACAGCUAUUGUUUAAUUGACAAAUCAGCAAACUGGGG